rnacentral:rRNA from 1 species
CCAUGGAGCUUUAAACCCAGCAAUUACACCUGUUUAAGUAUACCCCUAUAAAUAACAGAACCCUACUUGUCUGGUUUUAGGUUGGGGUGACCGCGGAGCACAAAUCAACCUCCAUGAUGAAUGGGCUAACCCCCUUACCCAAGAGCCACACCUCUAAGAACUAGUAAUCUAACAUAAACUGAUCCGAUCAUCGAUCAACGAACCAAGUUACCCUGGGGAUAACAGCGCAAUCCACUUUAAGAGCCCCUAUCGACA